CUUGACACCCAUAAGAGGUCCAGCCUGCCCAGUGACUCUGUUCAACGGCCGCGGUAUCCUAACCGUGCGAAGGUAGCGUAAUCACUUGUUCUUUAAAUGAGGACUAGUAUGAAUGGCACCACGAAGGUUAUACUGUCUCCUUUUUCUAAUCAGUGAAACUAAUCUUCCCGUGAAGAAGCGGGAAUAAAAAUAUAAGACGAGAAGACCCUAUGGAGCUUUAAACAAACAUACAACUGCCUUCUUUUAUGAAUAUUUCAGAAGAAAACCUUUAUUUAGGCAUUUUGAUAUAGAGUUUUAGGUUGGGGUGACCACGGAGUAAAAACCAACCUCCGCAAUGAAAGGGGCUCUUCCCCUAAGCUAAGGGCUACAACCCUAAGAAUCAAAAAAUUGACACCAAUUGACCCAAUAUAUUUGAUCAAUGAAC
rnacentral:rRNA from 1 species